AUGGCUCAGGAUGAACGCUAGCGAUAGGCCUAACACAUGCAAGUCGAGGGGCAGCACAUGAGUAGCAAUACGAUGGUGGCGACCGGCGCACGGGUGAGUAACACGUAUGCAACCUACCUUUAACAGGGGAAUAACCCGUUGAAAAACGGACUAAUACUCCAUAACACAGGGGUCCCGCAUGGGAAUAUUUGUUAAAGAUUAAUCGGUUGAAGAUGGGCAUGCGUUCCAUUAGCUUGUGGUGAGGUAACGGCUCACCAAGGCCACGAUGGAUAGGGGAACUGAGAGGUUUAUCCCCCACACUGGAACUGAGACACGGUCCAGACUCCUACGGGAGGCAGCAGUGAGGAAUAUUGGUCAAUGGAGGCAACUCUGAACCAGCCAAGUCGCGUGAAGGAUGAAGGUCUUAUGGAUUGUAAACUUCUUUUGCAAGGGAAUAAAGUGGGGGACGUGUCCUCCUUUGCAUGUACCUUGCGAAUAAGGAUCGGCUAACUCCGUGCCAGCAGCAGC
rnacentral:rRNA from 1 species